UACGAGGGGGGCAAGCGUUGUUCGGAAUUAUUGGGCGUAAAGGGCGCGUAGGCGGUUUGACAAGUCUCAUGUGAAAUCUUCGGGCUCAACCCGAAGCCUGCAUGGGAAACUGUCGGGCUUGAGUAUGGGAGAGGUGAGUGGAAUUUCCGGUGUAGCGGUGAAAUGCGUAGAUAUCGGAAGGAACACCUGUGGCGAAAGCGGCUCACUGGACCAUAACUGACGCUGAGGCGCGAAAGCUAGGGGAGCAAACAGG
rnacentral:rRNA from 1 species